rnacentral:misc_RNA from 1 species
GAUGAAGAACGUAGCGAAAUGCGAUAAGUAAUGUGAAUUGCAGAAUUCAGUGAAUCAUCGAAUCUUUGAACGCACAUUGCGCCCGCUAGUAUUCUGGCGGGCAUGCCUGUCCGAGCGUCAUUUCAACCCUCAAGCCCCCGGGCUUGGUGUUGGGGAUCGGCUCUGCCCUUCUGGGCGGUGCCGCCCCCGAAAUACAUUGGCGGUCUCGCUGCAGCCUCCAUUGCGUAGUAGCUAACACCUCGCAACUGGAACGCGGCGCGGCCAUGCCGUAAAACCCCAACUUCUGAAUGUUGACCUCGGAUCAGGUAGGAAUACCCGCUGAACUUAAGCAUAUCAAUAAGCGGAGGA